rnacentral:rRNA from 1 species
UACGUAGGUGGCAAGCGUUGUCCGGAUUUACUGGGCGUAAAGGGCGUGCAGGCGGUUUGUUAAGUGCAGGGUGAAAGCUCCCGGCUCAACUGGGAGAGGUCCUUGCAUACUGGCAGACUUGAGGGAGGCAGAGGAAAGUGGAAUUCCCGGUGUAGUGGUGAUAUGCGUAGAUAUCGGGAGGAACACCUGUGGCGAAGGCGGCUUUCUGGGCCUUACCUGACGCUGAGACGCGAAAGCGUGGGGAGCAAACAGG